AGCGAACGCUGGCGGCAGGCCUAACACAUGCAUGUCGAGCGCCCCGCAAGGGGAGCGGCAGACGGUAGAGUAACACGUGGGAACGUACCCUUCGGUUCGGAACAACCCAGGGAAACUUGGGCUAAUACCGGAUACGUCCGAAAGGAGAAAGAUUUACUGCCGAGGGAGCGGCCCGCGUCUGAUUAGCUAGGUGGUGGGGUAACGGUCCACCAAAGCGACGAUCAGUAGCUGGUCUGAGAGGAUGAUCAGCCUCACUGGGACUGAGACACGGCCCAGACUCCUACGGGAGGCAGCAGUGGGGAAUAUUGGACAAUGGGCGCAAGCCUGAUCCAGCCAUGCCGCGUGGGUGAUAAAGGCCCUAGGGUUGUAAAGCCCUUUCGGCGGGGAAGAUAAUGACGGUACCCGCAGAAGAAGCCCCGGCUAACUUCGUGCCAGCCGCCGCUGUAACAC
rnacentral:rRNA from 1 species